AGAGUUUGAUCAUGGCUCAGAGUGAACGCUGGCGGUAGGCCUAACACAUGCAAGUCGAACGGCAGCACAGAGGAGCUUGCUCCUUGGGUGGCGAGUGGCGGACGGGUGAGGAAUACAUCGGAAUCUACUCUGUCGUGGGGGAUAACGUAGGGAAACUUACGCUAAUACCGCAUACGACCUACGGGUGAAAGCAGGGGAUCUUCGGACCUUGCGCGAUUGAAUGAGCCGAUGUCGGACUAGCUAGUUGGCGGGAUAAAGGCCCACCAAGGCGACGAUCCGUAGCUGGUCUGAGAGGAUGAUCAGCCACACUGGAACUGAGACACGGUCCAGACUCCUACGGGAGGCAGCAGUGGGGAAUAUUGGACAAUGGGCGCAAGCCUGAUCCAGCCAUACCGCGUGGGUGAAGAAGGCCUUCGGGUUGUAAAGCCCUUUUGUUGGGAAAGAAAUCCAGCUGGCUAAUACCCGGUUGGGAUGACGGUACCCAAAGAAUAAGCACCGGCUAACUUCGUGCCAGCAGCCGCGGUAAUACGAAGGGUGCAAGCGUUACUCGGAAUUACUGGGCGUAAAGCGUGCGUAGGUGGUCGUUUAAGUCCGUUGUGAAAGCCCUGGGCUCAACCUGGGAACUGCAGUGGAUACUGGGCGACUAGAGUGUGGUAGAGGGUAGCGGAAUUCCUGGUGUAGCAGUGAAAUGCGUAGAGAUCAGGAGGAACAUCCAUGGCGAAGGCAGCUACCUGGACCAACACUGACACUGAGGCACGAAAGCGUGGGGAGCAAACAGGAUUAGAUACCCCGGUAGUCCAA
rnacentral:rRNA from 1 species